rnacentral:rRNA from 1 species
UCGCUACUACCGAUUGAAUGUUUAGGUGAGAUUUCCGGACCGGGACGUUACCGCUGGCAACAGCAGUGAUGUUUUGGGAAGUUACUCAAACUUGAUCAUUUAGAGGAAGUAA